GGAGAGGUGGCGGAAUUGGUAGACGCGCUACUUUGAGGGGGUAGUGUUAAUUGUGACGUGGGAGUUCGAGUCUCCUCCUCUUCACUA
rnacentral:tRNA from 2 species